UGCUGCUCUGUUCAAGGCCCUGCUCCCAACACUGCUCUGUUCAAGGCCCUGCUCCCCAACACUGCUCUGUUCAAGGCCCUGCUCCCCAACACUGCUCUGUUAAAGGCCCUGCUCCCCAACACUGCUCUGUUCAAGGCCCUGCUCCCCAACACUGGGUUCACCUUCUCACCACUUCCAUCAAAUCCUGUCCUCAGGCUCAUCAAAGCGGCAGAGUGGACAUCUGAAGGAUACUCAUUGAGGAAACCAUUGACUGCCAGGACGUCACUUCAGGGACAUGAGUCAACCUUGUUUAUAAUUUGUACACACCCAGCACAACCAAUGACUGACCGUGGUCAGUACUGCAUGUUCACUGUUGGAAGUGUUCAAGAAUUUUGGACAAACGUAGAAUUGACGACUAGUUCAACCUAUUCAUGUGUGGGCGAGGCCAGGAUUCUUCAGGUGGCCAGGGUUCUACCUUGCCUGGGGUUCUUCAUGUGGGUGUGGUCCGGGUUCUAGCUGGCCUGUGGUUCUUCAUGUGGACAGGGUUCUACCUGAUUGAUCUCCACAUGGUCCGUGUUCUACCUGGUUGUUCUCCACAUGGUCCGGGUUCUACCUGGUUGUUCUCCACAUGGUCAGGGUUCUACCUGGUUGUUCUCCACAUGGUCAGGGUUCUACCUGGUGGUUCUCCACAUGGUCAGGGUUCUACCUGGUGGUUCUCCACAUGGUCAGGGUUCUACCUGGUGGUUUUUCACAUCUUCAGGGUUCGCCCUGGCCUGGGGGUCUUCAGGUGGACAGGGUUCGAUCUGGCCUGGGGGUCUUCAGGUGGUCAGUGUUCUACCUGGCCAGGGGGUCUUCGGGUGGUCAGUGUUCUACCUGGCCUGGUUGUUCUUGAGGUGGUCAGGGUUUGACCUGGCCUGGGGGUCUUCAGGUGGACAGGGUUCGACCUGGCCUGGGGGUCUUCAGGUGGUCAGGGUUCGACCUGGCCUGGGGGACUUCAGCCGGGCAAGGCCGUCGUUCGACGUGACGUGGCAUUCUUGGUGUUCACACUCGCAUCACAAAAAAUGUAAAUGGUCAUUCAUGCUUGAAAGACUGCGACGUAGCUGCCCUUGCUACCCCGACAUGAUCGAUGGCUGGUAAGCCCUGUGGAUUGUAUCUUCUGGACUCCUGUGCUGGGAUGCAUGUCUUUCUUGGGCUGAAUUUUAACGUAUUGGAAGAGGCUAGCUGGACCUGGGAGAUGGUUCCCCUUUGAAUCAGAAACCAUCUUGGAAACAUCCCAACUAUGGUUCUCUUCAAGCUGCAGUUCUGCUCUUCUUCAGAUGAGGAGGUGAAGAAAUCCUCACUGGAGCUUCAAGAUCUUUGAAGAGGAAUAUUGAAAUGUGCACAAUGGUUCUCUCCCUUAAGCGCUGUGGUGUAUUCUAGUCGCUGAGAAGGAGCCCUCCCAUCCUACUCGUGGCGUUUCUCCUUGUCCCUGUCACUGUGUUGACGGAUGUUCCAGGUCACGUAACUGACGGGAGGGGGGCAUGUCUACAGAACGUUAGACUUUCGACAGCACUGUAUCCUAGCAUGCAUCGCUUGUCACACAGACCACACCUGGAAUAAUAUGGCGAUGCUCAUGUGAUAUGAAGCGAGGAAGUGGCCAAAAGAAAUGAGAUUAGUUUAUUUUGUACUCUAGCAUUGUUAAAUGUUAAUGUUAGCUGAAAUGUUUAGUCAAAAUAAUUUGUACAUAAACCAACGGCAACAAACUACCAGAUCGUCUAAGGUAAGUCUGUUGGCUGUAUUUUGCAACGAGACGACCAAAGGAUCACAAGAUCUGCAUCGUCGUUCCGCAUCGUCGUUCCGCUCAAGGUGAGGUGCUGGUUACGUUACUUAUGGGUGGUUCAAACUGGAACGUUACGAUUCCAGUAUGACAGGGUUUGGGCUCACUGCGGAGGUUGGUAGUUAGCUUUGUGCAUGUUGUGGACCUCUAAGGCUGCAGUACUGCGUAUGGUGGAUGUUGAGUCACCUGGGAGGGCAACUGGCAGUACGAUUGGGAUUUGCGUAACCUCAUCCGCACCUUAUUAUGGCGUCUGGUAGUAUGAUCCAUAUCGGCCUUUGCGUAAACCUCAUCACUAAUGAGCGUACCCAAUUAAAGUAAUUUGGCAGUUCCCCAUUGCUAUCGGUAACCAUCUGCGAUAUUUGGUAAAUUUAUUUUGCCCUAGGUACAGCACACUUAAAAUAACUGUUUAAAGUUAUCCCAUAAAUACCGCACAACGACUUUGAUAAUUGUCCUCCAAAAGCGACUCUCGGUGCAUUUUUGGCGUACACAUUUUCGGGUUGCGUAAAAGAUGCAGAGAUCGGCAUCUCCAUACUACGGCUUUUUGGAUCUUCAACGACCCAGCAGCUGAAUGAGGCUUGGUAUCAUUUUACUAUCAUAAAUUACUAUUGAUAAUGCUAGUGCUUUAAAUACCUGGGCUGUAAUUGGCCCGGUUAUAUCCAACCAAAUGGAAGUUAAAUUACAGCUACAGAGCCGAGAUUGUAACUAGUUUUUCACGAGCUGAACUUUGCUUCAGUGCUUUGGCUGAAUAACUUAACUCUUUAGUCUCCUAGACUUCAGAAACAAAAGGAAAGGUUCAAUGUAAACGUGCUUAAUUGCGUAAAAACAAAUGGCAUAGCUGUCCAGACGAGUCAAGUAAAUGGUUGCAAAUGCUCAACGUUGUGAUGUUUGUAAACGGGUGAAUGUUGUGUUAACAGUGGGGAACUCCAGGCCUUGCUGUCUUGAAGCUGUAUGAUGAGAAAUAUGUCAAUCCAACCCCACAGACCAUGAAUCCUUGGUUGAAGAGAGCUGUUGAAGGAACCAUGCAUCUGGAGGAAGACCUUGACUCUACCUGCCAACCGGUAGUACUGGUAAGUUUGCAUGAACUGAACAUGGUGGACUUGAGGCGAAAUCACUGCUGUUUGUUCCAGACCAGGACUCGUGGUGGCAGGGAGCUGAUGGAGCCGUGCUGAGGACCUGCAGGUGAAGGACGUCCCUUGUGGGGGUAAUGACAAGACACUGAGAUGACGUAGAUGAAUCACCAGGAUCCGCUUGGAGGCUACGAUGUGACUGCUGAGCUUUCUGGAAGUCCCGGAGUCCUUGGCGGAGGAGAGCUGAUGGAGGAGCAGGGCAUCUGGAGAAGGACCAUGAAUCUACCUGCCAACCGGUAGUACUGGUAAGUUUGCAUGAACUGAACAUGGUGGACUUGAGGCGAAAUCACUGCUGUUUGUUCCAGACCAGGACUCGGUGGUGGCGGGGAGCUGAUGGAGCCGUGCUGAGGACCUGCAGGUGAAGGACGUCCCUUGUGGGGGUAAUGACAAGACACUGAGAUGACGUAGAUGAAUCACCAGGAUCCGCUUGGAGGCUACGAUGUGACUGCUGAGCUUUCUGGAAGUCCCGGAGUCCUUGGUGGAGGAGAGCUGAUGGAGGAGCAGGGCAUCUGGAGAAGGACCAUGAAUCUACCUGCCAACCCGUAGUACUGGAAGGCAGGGCAGAGGCAGGUGAUGGGAGAUCCUACCUGGUGAAGGAUCUCUGGCUGGGGCGAGUGACACCCGACUCCAUCGACGACCACUGCGGAGAGGGAUGAAGGAGGAGCAUGCAUCUGGAAGGUGCAGUUGAAAUGCUGUGUUCAGUCUGGGGCAGACACACCUGAGCUGCAUCACAACUGUAACUCUGACCUGCUGGAGUCCUCCAGAGGUCAACAUACGGCGCCUCAUCACAGCUCCUCGCUGGCCUGUGAAUUAAUCUGCUCCACUCACAGCACGUCACCAUGUGCUGCUCGUUGGGAUGCUCCCAAUGUGUUCCAUCGAGGGUUCCUUCCUCGAAACUGGGAGGGCCCCUUCCUCUCCACACUGGGAGGGUUCCUUGUCCUUCAAGGUGUCAGGGUUCAGUGUUAGGGACAGAGUUAGGGACAGAUGGUUGAGCUGGUUUCACGAUAUACGCUUUGUGUUCAAGGGUGGAUGGACAUCUGACAAAACGCUUCCCCCAAAAUGUUUUA